GUCUGGUCUGCAGCUCCAGCUAGCUAAUGUGUCUGGUAGAGGGGAAAACUAACCAUACACUCCCCACAUUGAGGAGAAUUUUCUGGCGUCAUUAUCAGG